rnacentral:sRNA from 1 species
AGCAGCCGCGGUAAUUCCAGCUCCAAUAGCGUAUAUUAAAGUUGUUGCAGUUAAAAAGCUCGUAGUUGAAUUUCGGGGUUAGUAGGUUGGUCAUGCCUCUGGUAUGUACUGGUCUCACUGAUUCCUCCUUCCUGAUGAACCUUAAUGCCAUUAAUUUGGUGUUUUGGGGAAUUUGGACUGUUACUUUGAAAAAAUUAGAGUGUUUAAAGCAAGCUAACGCUUGAAUACAUUAGCAUGGAAUAAUGAAAUAGGACGUUCGAUCCUAUUUUGUUGGUUUCUAGGAUUGACGUAAUGAUUAAUAGGGAUAGUUGGGGGCGAUUAGUAUUCAAUUGUCAGAGGUGAAAUUCUUGGAUUUAUUGAAGACUAACUACUGCGAAAGCAUUUGCCAAGGAUGUUUUCAUUAAUCAAGAACGAAAGUUAGGGGAUCGAAGACGAUCAGAUACCGUCGUAGUCUUAACCAUAAACUAUGCCGACUAGGGAUCGGAUGAUGUUAAUUUUUUAAUGACUCAUUCGGCGCCUU